CUAGUUGAGCGCUUCACCUCGCUUAAGCAUGCAAGUACCACGGCGACAAGACAAGACCCUUACUGCUCAUGGGCUCUGCUUGGAUGGUGGCACUAAAUAUAGUAAGUUGUCAAGCUGAUAUAUUAAUUGUUAAAGAAACACAAGGACAUAUAUGUUAAGGAAUACGAAAUUUGAACUUUAGUGCAAGAAAACGAUCAUUGAAAGUUAAACUGCAUACAUACACUUUGAAUCAAAAAUUCAGUAUGAUAGUUGAACUCGGAUGGCAUGAUUUUGCUUCAUAUAUCUGCACUUUGAUUGGGAUUGUUCUUACUAAUCCACAGUCAUAUCACAUAUGUUAUCGAGAUUUGUGUCUAUGAAUGCCAAGGAGGGUGUGCCUCAGUCAUUACCUUUUCCAACAUUUUCAUGUGAUCAUAAUGACUGACCUAUAGUUUGUAGUUAAACACACACACACACACACUUUUGUGGUCCAAUUGUGAUACUGACCAGUCCAAGUUAUCUACUGAUCGGCAGGAAAAAAAUUUCCAGGGAGCUGCGGUGACAAAACAUCGGAUAGAAACAGUAACCGAUAUAUCCAAUCUUUUUGUGAAAUUGACACUAAUCAUUCAUCAUCAUAGCUUCAAAAUUUCGAUAGUUCUAUAACAUGUUUCUCUUGAACAUUUUCUAGGAAGUCCUAGUUCUGUAGCAGUUUUUUUUUUUUUUUCUUUUUUCUUUUUUGAAUAUUUUCUAGGAAAAGAAGGAAGACCUGUAAACUUUAGGUUGAGUGAGUAGGGCACUGUGUAGAAGAGAAACUCUGGCUUCCACCUCUUUUUGGGUGGUUUGACGAAUUUAUAAAUUCUGCAUACAUGCAUCGGAAACAACCUCCCUAUCCCAGAAAGAUAAGCGGAAAGUCUCAUUACAUCCUAUCCUCCUCAGACUUCACUUCCAUAAUUACAUUCGGUAUGUUAUUAUUUUUUAACUUUGUAAAUUCUGAUUAUCCAAUUCGAUGUUGUUAACGCCUCUUCCAAGCCAUCAAGCAUGAUGUCCUUGUGAUACCUAAAUGAGGGUAUCAGGGAUAGAAAAUGCAGAAAAAGAAGCAGAGUAGAGGAGAAGAACAGAGAAGAUUAAGGGAAGAAAAAAAUAGGAGCAAGAGUGAGGAAUUUGUAUUGAAGAUAAUACACCAAAUUCAUGCCUUACAAUGCUUUCAAUUCCUUACUUAUACUACAACUCAGAAAUCAUUAAGAUAAAAGGAAAUGGAAAUAACGUGAACACUAAAGGGCUAACUAACUUUCCCGUCAACACCAAGAGUCAUGCUCAGGGUGUGAUCAGUCCAGAUGGUAGUGAGCUGGCUGCCAGGUCCAGGUGGCUGCUUAGAUGGCACCAAAGCUCUAUAUAAUGGUAUCAAAUGCGCCCCCCCGUGAAGCAACACCCUUGUUCUCAAGGGUGAUAGUAGGACAACGAGUUUGUAGAGAAGAGGCUAACUACUAAGUGGCAUAAGAAUCAUCUAGUCCUGACCAUUUAAUCAAUCAUUGUGCAACAACUUUGUUAUCCCUUUUGAUCAUGCGCCUAUCCAAGAUAUAUUCAGGUUCAGGACAGUGUAGAUUGGACAAAUCAAGAACAGGAGGAUGAACUCUAUCAGAAGGAAUUUCAUGAAAAAUCUUGAGCUGGGAAAUGUGAAAAGUAGAGUGGAUUAGAACUUCAGGUGGGAGAAGGAGUUUGUAAGCUACAGGUCCAACCUUCUCAACAGUGGGAUAAGAGCCAAAAUAUCUAGAAGUCAGCUUAUGAUAGGGAAAAAUAGAUAAGGAUGAUUGUCUAUAAGGCUGUAGUUUAACAAAUACCCAGUCACCAACAUUGAAGUGCCUAUCAGAACUGCGAGCAUUUGCUUGAGCUCUCAUUCUCUGCUGAGCUCUGUGUAGGUGGAAUUUGGCCAAUUGUAGUUUGAAUUCUCUGAGUAGCAUCAUGUCUUCAAUAGUAUCAAAAUAAACAUCCAUUGGUAGAUAAGGGAGGUGUAGUGGUGGGGGUAUCCAUAUAGUAGCUCAAAAGGAGAGGUUUGAAUGGCUGAGUGGGGACUAGAAUUAUACCAUCACUCAGCUAAUGAUAAGUAGGAUACCCAAUCAAUAGGUGCAUCAGUGCAUAAACAUUGGAGUUAUGUUUCAAGGCAUCUAUUCAACACUUCAGACUGACCAUCAGUCUGUGGAUGGUAGGCAGUGGAAGUUUGCAGGGACACACCUUGAGCAGUCAAGAAAGCCUUCCAAAAGGUACUAAUAAAGAUGGGAUCUCUAUCACUGGUGAUGGUAGCAGGAAAACCAUGUAAUUUGAAAAUGUUAUCCAAAAAGAUAGGAACAAGAGAUUGGGCAGUAUAAGGAUGUGAUAGAGCAAUGAAAUGGUCAGAUUUAGUGAGUCUAUCAACUAUUACCUAAAUAACUGUUUUGCCUUUAGAUUUGUGUAGCCCUUCAAUAAAUUCCAUACAAAUAUCAGUCCAAGAAAGAGUAGGAAUGGGCAAAGGUUGGAUCAAACCAAGAAAGGUUGAUGUGUCAUACUUGUUUCUCUAACAAACUACACAUAUUUCUGCACAAAAGAAGUUUGUUUGAUCUAAUACCCUUCCAAUAAAAGUAUGUCAACACCUUUCUAGUAGUUGUAUCAAUGCCGGAAUGUCCUCCAGUAGGUGUGGAAUGCCAUAAUGUCAAAAUUCUCCCUAAGUGCAGCAUUAUUUCCAAUGACCAACUUUCCUUUCCUCCUUAACUGAUCAGCAAUCCAGGUGAAGUGCUUCUGUGGUUUGACAGGUAAAGCUUGGAUGAGAGCUUGAAAUUUAGGAUCAGUGUUCCAACUAUCCUUGAUCUCAGUCCAUAAGUCCACCUCAACAGAGGAUACUAAGAGUGACAUGAAUUCUACACCUUGAAUUCUGGAUAAAGCAUAAGCAAAAACAUUUUCCUUACCCUUUUUAUAUUGAAUUUCAAAAUCAAAGGGUAGUAGUUGUCUAACCAUCGAAUCUGAGAAUCUGUGUGAAUUUUUUGUUCCAACAAAUAUUUCAAGGCCCUUUGAUCUAUCUUGAUAAUAAAAUAUUGACCUAGUAGAUAGUGGGACCACUUAGUAACAGCAAACACCAAUGCUAAAAGCUCCAUUUCAUACAUAGAUAAUGCAGCAUGAGAUUCAGAUAAACCCUUGCUAAUAAAAGCAAUGGGAUGAUCAAGUUGCAAAAGUACAACACCAAUACUAGUGCCACAUGCAUCAGUUUCAACAACAAAUGGAAUAGUAUAGUUGGGCAAUGCAAGUACAGGAGCAGAGGUCAAGGCUAGCUUUAGGUCACUAAAAUCUUGAGUAGCUUCAAUAGUCCACUGAAAAUUGUCCUUCUUGAGAAAAUCAUUGAGUGGCCUACUGAUGAAGCCAUACCUUUUGAUGAACUUUCUGUAAUACCAUGCCAGACAUAAGAAUCCUCUAAGUUGUUUAAGAGAAUUGGGAAGAGGCCAAGAUUUCACAGCUUGUAUCUUUCUUGGGUCUGUAGAAACUCCAUCUCCUGAUAUAAAAUGACCCAAGUACUCUACCAUAGACACUCCAAACACACACUUUGACCGUUUUGCUAAGAUAUGAUGCUUGACCAUAAUAUCAAAAACAACUUUAAGAUGAGUAAGGUGAGCUUGCAAGGAUUCACUGUAAAUUAGAAUAUCAUAAAAAAACACCAAUACAAAUUUCCUCAAGACCUGCUGAAAAAUAUGGAUCAUAAGACAUUGAAAUGUAGAAGGAGCAUUAGUUAGACCAAAAGGCAUGACCAAAAACUCAUAGUGGCCCAUAUGAGUUUAAAUGUUGUUUUUGGCACAUCAUCUAUCACCAUUCUAAUUUGAUGAUAGCCAGAUCUCAAAUCCACCUUAGAAAAUACUUUAGCACCUGCCAACUCAUCCAAGAGAUCAUCAAUAAUGGGAAUGGGGAACUUAUCUUUAACAAUGCAUUGAUUAAGUUCUUUGUAAUCAACACACAACCUCCAUUAACUAUCUUUCUUUUCCACCACCACCACUUGAGAAGAGAAUGGACUAUUGCUGUACUGUAUGACAGCUUAAUUCAACAUAUCUUUAAUUAACCCUUCUAUAAUGGUCUUCUUCAUAGCUGAAUAUCUAUAAGGUCCGAUGUUAACAGGUUUAGCUCCAGGAUGCAAGGAAAUUUUAUGAUCAAAAGGCCUCUUUGAGGUGGUAAAGCUAAAGGUUAAACAAAAAGAGGUUUAUAAGAGUUCAAUAGUAAUGUGAUUUCAGGUGGGAUGUGUUCUUCUUUUGGUAAGUGCAAUGAACAAAUUUGACCCUCCAUUCUGCUAUCAGAAGAAGUCUGCAAGACCUGCAACACAAACAACUCAACUUCAUCUCCGGCAAGCUUGUUCACAGCCUUGGAACUAGCUAGCCUACACUCUUUAUGUACUCCCUUCAGCACAUGUUGUUUACUUUGGUGAUAAAAGGACAUAGUAAGCUCAUUAAAAUCCAUAGUUACUGGACCUAGUGUUUUCAUCCACAAAUCUCCCAGAACAAUGUCACAUCUUCCAAUCGAAAUACUAUAAGAUCAGAAGAAUAUGUAGUACCCUGCAACAUCCACUCAAAAUUCUUGACUACUCCAGUAGUGGCUUCCAUAGCAUUGUUACCAAGACUAACAUAGCUUACGGGAGUGGUAGUAGCUGUGCAUCCCAACUUCUUUACUGAUUCAACAUCUAUGAAGUUGUAAGUACUUCCCCCAUCUAAUAAGAUCUGCACAUGCCUCUUACCAUUGUAUCCAAUAACAUGUAUAGUCUGAGCACCCUGAAUUCCUGCUAGUUCACAGUAAGAAAUCAUUGGUGUUUCAGUACCAAUAGGAGCCACUUGUGUGUCAUCUGGUGGUUCAAAAUCAGGUGGUUCAACUUCAACUAUAUGAGUGAUUGCCUCAGCAUCCUCUAAUUCCAGCACAAAUAUUUGUUUUGGCAAGCUGCAUUUAUGAUCAAUAGUGUACUUAUCUUUACAAAAAUAACAUAAACCUUGUGCCCUCUUGGCUUGCAUUUCAGCAGGUGAGAUAGUCCUCCUAUUCCUGGGAUUUGGGCCAUUAGUGAUAACAGGUAAGCUUAAUCUGGAAUUUGAUUGCAAAUAAGAGUUGGAUGGUCGAGUAACAGUUGUUUCCUUCUUCACAGGGUUAAUAUUCAUAUCAAUAAACUUCUGCCCUCUAGCAUUUGCAAACAUGGAUGCCUCCGCUAAAUGAGAUAACCUAUAGACCUUCGGUAAGGUUUGAGGAUCAUGCAUUAUAACUGGACCCAACAAUUCCUUCUUAAGACCUCCAAAAAAACAUGAGAUAGCUUGAUCACUAGACAAAUCACAUUGAGCUAAUAAUUUGUCAAAGGCAAAUUGAUAUUCUCUAACUGUUCCUGUUUGUCUCAACUGUUUUAAUUCCAGCAUAGGAUUCAAAAAAUCAUCCCCAAAUACCUCCGUUAGGGCUGCUAAAUAUUCGUCCCAUCCCAAUGGUGAAAUAGAAUUUCGAUACCUCAAAAAGGACUGAUGCCAAGUUAGUGCCUCAUCCUUCAAAUUCAUGGCAACAAGUCUAAUUCUGUGGUGUAGAGGUGUUUUAUCUAUUGAAAAAAAAAACUGUUCUAUGCGAUACAACCAAGUUUUGAGAUUCUCACCAUUGAAACGAGGAAAGCUGAGAUUGUGAUUUCGAAUGGAGUUGGCCUAGUAGGGGUUAGAUCCGAGGAUUCCAGUUGUAGCUGAUACUCCAUUUCCUCAAGGAACUGAUGGAGAAGCAUUGUCUCUGUUUUGUUGAUGAAAGUGAAUACCAUCGACUGAAUCCUUAAGUGCAUUCACAAUACGAAGUAAUUCUGCUUGCCUCUUGUCCAAUUCCGCUUUCAUCUCCAUAUGUUUUUCCUCCAUAACCAUAUGAAGAUCAUUUUGCUGGGCUGCCAGAUCUUCAUAUUGCUCCUGAAGAUCAAUUAUAACGUUUGCAUCCUUAUGAGGGCCCAUGAUUCACUCGUAAACAACCUGUCUAUGAUACCAAUUUAUACCUAGAUGAGGGUAUCAGGGAUAGAAAAUGCAGAAAAAGAAGCAGAGUAGAGGAGAAGAACAAAGAAGAUUAAGGGAAGAAAAGAAUAGGAGCAAGAGUGAGGAAUUUGUAUUGAAGAUAAUACACCAAAUUCAUGCCUUACAAUGCUUACAAUUCUUUACUUAUACUACAACUCAUAAAUCAUUAAGAUAAAAGAAAAAGGAAAUAACGUAAACACUAAAGGGCUAACUAACUUUCCCGCCAACACCAAGAGUCAUGCUCAGGGUGUGAUCAGUCUACAUGACAGUGAACUGACUGCCAGGUCCAGGUGGCUGCUUAGAUGACACCAAAGCUCUAUAUAAUGGUAUCACCUUGUUUCCACCUUUACCUCCCCUACACACAGAUCCAUUGCAUAAACCAAUGCCGAUAUCUAAAGUUCACUGGCUUGAUCGACUCAAAUUUGGUGAAUUGGACCCACUAAGAGGGGCAAAAUGCCCCGUUUUCAGUCAUUCUUACCAUGAUUAAGUAAUUAAACACAAAAUUGAAAAAUUGUUGGUAUCUGAUCUCUAUAUAUGAGUAUGUGGCCAUAGAUAAGAGAAAAUAUACUUGCAUGAAUCUAUGUUAAUAAAUAAGACAAACAAAGAACAAGAAAAUAAUAGAAUCUUUAUUUAUUUCAUUAUUGUUCUACUUAGAACAAAAGGAUCCAUGUAUAUAGUUCUACUAAGAACAAGAAGAUAGAUAGAUCUAUGUGUUUGAUUGAAUAAAUUUCAUGUGCCUUGGUAAUUCCUUUUGAAGGGCAGCUUGACAGUAAUCAGGAUCAUGGCUACAACAAAAUGGAGGAUAUGCAUCAGCAUUUUCCAGCAUAGCAAGAACAAACAUAACCACAAAAAGAACCAUCACAAAUCACAAUCUUGGCAAAACUCAUAAUUUCCUUUUAUUAAAAACAAUUCUUUUUUCUUUUCGAGUGAUUGAUUUUUAGAAGAAACAGUGGGUAUUUAUAGAAAUGCAUAUGUGUAUACAUUAGGAAAUAUAUUAAUAAGACAGAAUCUCCAUUAGUUAUUAUAAUUCCAGUUACUAUAAUUUAUAUGUCUAG
rnacentral:lncRNA from 1 species